rnacentral:rRNA from 1 species
AGCAGCCGCGGUAAUUCCAGCUCCAAUAGCGUAUAUUAAAGUUGUUGCAGUUAAAAAGCUCGUAGUUGAAUUUCGGGGUUCAUACGUUGGUCGGGCUUUUUGGUCUGUACUGGCGUAAUGGAUUCCUACCUUCUGAAUAACCGGCAUGCCAUUAAUUUGGUGCGCCGGGGAAGCAGGACUGUUACCUUGAAAAAAUUAGAGUGCUUAAAGCAGGCUAUCGCCUGAAUACAUUAGCAUGGAAUAAUGAAAUAGGACGGCAUGGUUCUAUUUUGUUGGUUUCUAGGAUCACCGUAAUGAUUAAUAGGGAUAGUUGGGGGCAUUAGUAUUCAAUUGUCAGAGGUGAAAUUCUUGGAUUUAUUGAAGACUAACUUCUGCGAAAGCAUUUGCCAAGGAUGUUUUCAUUAAUCAAGAACGAAAGUUAGGGGAUCGAAGACGGUCAGAUACCGCCGUAGUCUUAACCAUAAACUAUGCCGACUAGGGAUCGGACGAUGUUAAUUUUUUAAUGACUCGUUCGGCGCCU